rnacentral:misc_RNA from 1 species
CUUUCAAACAUUAAAAGAAAACUACCAAACCAAACCAAUAUCAUAGCGGUGCGCUGCCAUUACACAAUACCUCUCUCUACGCUAUGGGCUUCCCUGUUGGCUACACAGAGCUUAUACUCCCAAAAGUUCUAAUCCAAACUCUUUCUUUUCUGGGUUUCAUUAGGAGGAUCAUAAGCACUCUCUUUCGCUACCUGCGUCUCCCUGAUUUUCUUGAACCUGACAUUUCUUGGCCAGAAACGCCUCCCAGGUUUCCUGAGUUCUACUCCUUCUCCGCUAUCCUCAUACGCGAGAUCCUCCCCGUCGUCAAGUUCUCCGACCUUGUCGACCCGCCUGACAGUUGCGCUGUCUGUCUUUAUGAGUUUGAAGACCAAGAUGAGAUCAGACAACUCACCAACUGCCGUCAUAUAUUCCAUCGGAGCUGCUUGGACCGGUGGAUCGACUACGACCAGAAAACAUGCCCGCUUUGUCGGACGCCGGUGAUUCCUGAAGAUAUGCAGGAGACUCUCAAUGAGAGGCUAUGGGCUGCUGCUGGGAUUCCUGAGUUCUAUGGCGAGUAUUCUCAGAUUGCUGCCUUGUAGAUUUUGUAUUCAAUAAUUUUCAACCCCAAAAAUUUAAAAAAAAAAAAAAAAACCUUUUUCUUGCUCUUUCUGGGGUUGUUCAUACCCUAUAUAUAUGACGAAAACCAAAACUUAUGAUCAGAAUUAAAUAAUUUUGUAUAGUUUUCU